GUCUUUUUGAAAAUAAUAUAAAGUCAAAUCUGCCCACUGAAUUUAUUUAAAGGGCUGCAGUAUAUUGACUGUACAAAGGUAGCAUAAUCAUUAGUCUUUUAAUUGAAGACUUGUAUGAAUGAUUUGAUGAGAUAUAAGCUGUCUCUUUAUUAAUAUUAGAAUUUAAUUUUUUAGUUAAAAAGCUAAAAUAAUUAUAAAAGACGAGAAGACCCUAUAGAGUUUAAUAUUUUUAUAAAUUUAAAUUUUAUAUAAAAUUUUAAAUUUAAAUUUAUGGAAAUAUUUUAUUGGGGGGAUGGAAAAAUUUAUUAAACUUUUUUUAAAAUAAAAACAUUAAUAUAUGAUUAUAUGAUCCAUAAUUUAUGAUUAUAAGAAUAAAUUACCUUAGGGAUAACAGCGUAAUUUUUUUUUUUAGUUCGUAUAAAAAUUAAAGUUUGCGACCUCGAUGUUGGAUUAAGAUAAAAUUUAAAUGCAAAAGUUUAAAAUUUUGAUCUGUUCGAUCAUUAAAAUCUUACA
rnacentral:rRNA from 1 species